rnacentral:rRNA from 1 species
GGUUGACCUCGAUCAGGUAGGGAUACCC